rnacentral:rRNA from 1 species
CCGGCCAGAGACCGAUAAGGAACAAGUAGAGUGAUCGAAAGAUGAAAAGCACUUUGGAAAGAGAGUUAAAAAGUACGUGAAAUUGUUGAAAGGGAAGCGCUUGCAACCAGACUCGUCCGCAGUUGCUCAGCCGGUCUCUUGACCGGCGUACUCUUCUGCGGCCGGGCCAGCAUCAGUUCGGACGGCCGGAUAAAGGCCUCGGGAAUGUAGCACCCUUCGGGGUGUGUUAUAGCCCGGGGUGGAAUGCGGCCAGCCUGGACUGAGGAUCUCGCUUCGGCUAGGAUGCUGGCGUAAUGGUUGUAAGCGGCCCGUCUUGAAACACGGA